rnacentral:rRNA from 1 species
UCGGGAAUUUUGGACAAUGGGCGCAAGCCUGAUCCAGCCAUGCCGCGUGCGGGAAGAAGGCCUUCGGGUUGUAAACCGCUUUUGUCAGGGAAGAAACGCUCUGGGCUAAUACCCUGGGGUAAUGACGGUACCUGAAGAAUAAGCACCGGCUAACUACGUGCCAGCAGCCGCGGUAAUACGUAGGGUGCAAGCGUUAAUCGGAAUUACUGGGCGUAAAGCGUGCGCAGGCGGUUAUGCAAGACAGAUGUGAAAUCCCCGGGCUCAACCUGGGAACUGCAUUUGUGACUGUAUAGCUAGAGUACGGUAGAGGGGGAUGGAAUUCCGCGUGUAGCAGUGAAAUGCGUAGAUAUGCGGAGGAACACCGAUGGCGAAGGCAAUCCCCUGGACCUGUACUGACGCUCAUGCACGAAAGCGUGGGGAGCAAACAGGAUUAGAUACCCUAGUAGUCCCUGAGCGGGCUGGCAAGGCGCAU